GUUCUGGCCGUGCGCUGACGGUUCGCAACGGAUUCAAAGUUGCGAUGAAAAAAAAUAAAAUCUCGUCAGAAACAUAAUUAUUAUUAUUUGUUUAAAUUGGCUACUUGGAACGAAAGCGGCGGGCUAUUCCUUCCAGGACUUGAUCUUCUGACCGUCGUUGAUGAAGUCAUUGUCUUUGUACGUUGGGAGUUCCUUGGUCUGAUGACAUCAGGAGAGAGGGAACCCAACAGAAAAUGAGCUCUGCUUGCUUGGCACACAACCGGGUAAGAAGAGGCAUGCUCUGGGGAUCUGCCUACACUGGCUUUCCGGAACAAUCCGUCAACUACCAUUGUGGCCUGAUUCAUAAAAAUAGAUUACAGUCA